rnacentral:lncRNA from 1 species
GGUUUCUCCACAUCUGCUGUUAGUUUCAUGUCUCUCUCAUUUUGUCUUGCAUCCAGGUGCACGCAUCCAGCUGUGUCUCUGUCACUGAAGCUUCCCUUGCAACCUCCUCUCCCUUGCCAGAUAAGCAGAGCAGGUCAGCAGAGAGCAGCUUGCCAGUGUGCUGCAUGCUUGUGAGUGCAGGUAGAAAACCUAGAAGCUGCUUCAUAGAAAACUGUCCUCCACCAUCAAAGAGUUAG